rnacentral:tRNA from 1 species
GGGGGUAUGGCGAAAUCGGUAGACGCUACGGACUUAAUUGAAUUGAGCCUUGGUAUGGAAACCCACUAAGUGAUAACUUUCAAAUUCAGAGAAACCCUGGAAUUAAUAAAAAGGGGCAAUCCUGAGCCAAAUCCUAAAAUCCGUCGACUUUAAAAAUCGUGAGGGUUCAAGUCCCUCUAUCCCCA